CGAAAAUUAAUUGAGUAUUCAUUCUAGCUGGCCUAAGUUAUGGCAAUUUAUUUAUAUUUGUUGAAAACCUCAUUCAUCACAUAUGUAUCCAUAGUAAUUUCUACAAUUUCCGCUGUACAGCGGUCAUAGACUCGUAGACUCGUAGACUCGUAGUAUCACAGGAUGUCUUAGUUAUGGCCAUGGAAGCUGAAUCCUUGCUGACCAACUCAUCACAAGGAAACCAAUAUUUCCAGAAAAGAUCUAAAUUCGCCGUAAAAAGGAUACUUCAAGAACUUCUUGUGCAGUGAAAAAUUAAUAAGUGAAAAAUUUGAAUAAAGUGUACGGAGGCCUCCUCACUUCAAUACACCAGGUAUUUACGAAACAACCAAUAUUAAUUUAUGGAAAAUUCACAGGCAACUACUUCGCAAAAAUAAAUGGGACAGGAUAAUAAAUAAAUUUGUAAUUACUUGA